rnacentral:rRNA from 1 species
UACAGAGGGUGCGAGCGUUAAUCGGAAUUACUGGGCGUAAAGCGUGCGUAGACGGCUAUCUAAGUCGGGUGUGAAAGCCCCGGGCUCAACCUGGGAAUUGCAUUCGAGACUGAAUAGCUAGGGUACGGUAGAGGGAAGCGGAAUUUCCGGUGUAGCGGUGAAAUGCGUAGAUAUCGGAAGGAACAUCAGUGGCGAAGGCGGCCUGCUGGGCUGUUGCUGACGCUGAGGCGCGACAGCGUGGGGAGCAAACAGG